rnacentral:lncRNA from 1 species
ACCACCCAUCAAAAAGUCACGACUGAGUCAUCAUAUUAUGAAUGAUAAUUUCAAUAGUCAGAUAAGUAUCAGGGGUGGGGCACCUCCAAUGAUCAUCUAAACUAUUAGAUCUAUUACCAUCCAACUUAAUGAGAGGCUAUGAAUUUGUUAUCUCUAUAAUAUUUUUAUUUUAAGGAUCUAAUAAUUUAAAAAAUUUAGAUAAAUAUUUUAAAAAAGAGAAGAGAUUAAUCAGUAGUCAAUAGUCCUCCUACUGACUUCACCAAGUCAUUAAAAUAGGACUAGAGAUAAGACUAGUUCAAGGGCACCUAAAUCAAUCAUACUGAUUAACCUUAAUGGUAUGAGUCAACUUGAAUCACUAAGUGACCUAAUCAAAACAUAAUUCACCAAG